AUGAAACUCCACUCCAGUGCCCAUCGAGACAUCGAACAGCAAGGUGCUGUCGGUCGUCUCUCUCACUUGACAGACGCUGUUCGUAAAACGUAUAGAUGGUGACCUGAAGAUGGAGGAUGCAAGAAAUGACCACAAGAGUUUUCUUGUGGUGAACUGACUCUUGCUGUACCAGAAAUGCAAGUCAGAAAUGUUGUUCUGAACACUGGCGCCACCAUGCUGCCCUAGACUGUGCUUACUGGCCACUGCCCUGUACUUGCUUGCUGCUGCCCUGGACUCCCCUUGCUGGCUACUGCCCUGGACGGCUCUGCUUUGUGCUUGCUGGCUGCUGCCCUGGACGGCUCUGCUGUGUGUGCCGCUCCCCUGGACGGCUCUGCUCUGUGUUUGCUGGCUGCUGCCCUGGACGGCUCUGCUUUGUGCUUGCUGGCUGCUGCCCUGGACGGCUCUGCUCUGUGCGUGCCGCUCCCCUGGACGGCUCUGCUCUGUGCAUGCGGCUCCCCUGGACGGCUUUGCUCUGUGCAUGCUGUUGUCCUGGACUGCUCUGCUGCCCUGGACUGCUCUGUGUGUGCUGCUCCCCUGGACGGCUCU